UACAGAGGGGGCAAGCGUUGUUCGGAAUUACUGGGCGUAAAGGGCGCGUAGGCGGCCUGUUAAGUCGGACGUGAAAUCCCCGGGCUCAACCCGGGAACUGCGUCCGAUACUGGCAGGCUUGAAUCCGGGAGAGGGAUGCGGAAUUCCAGGUGUAGCGGUGAAAUGCGUAGAUAUCAGGAGGAACACCUGCGGUGUAGACGGCUUACUGGACCAUAACUGACGCUGAGGCACGAAAGCGUGGGUAGCAAACAGG
rnacentral:rRNA from 1 species